UUGCUCUAGAGUUUUCAUCUCUCAUUUACAACUCACACAUUGCCAUAGUGAAUGGAAUUGUAAAACCUGUACCGAAAACAGUAGCAUAAAAUGGUAGGGCUGAAACACCCUCAUUGACGUAAGAAGUGAUCUUGUUAUAGCAUCUAAAAGCUCCACAGGUUUGGGGAGGAAUAAGAUACAGCCCCCAGGAAAGGAAGGAAGCAAUCACAGAGGGAUGAUUCCUUUGAGAAUGAGGACGGUGAAGUGGUGAAAGGAGAGAUCAAACAUAAACCUUCAACUUCCUGAUAUUUCCAAGAACAGAGACUCUCCUUCCUAACUAUCCUCCGAUUUUAAAGGCCCUGCAGUGUCUCCACCCUUCUUCCAUUUUAGUUAAAAGACCAUCUUGGAUGUAACUAUGCAAAAAAGUAGAAAUGCCGGCCCAUGCUGGGUCUGUAUUAAAAUUCACUCAAUACAGAAAGCUGACUUUCAUUAAAGUAACAGUUAAACCAGGGCCAAAAGCUUGACCUUCA
rnacentral:lncRNA from 1 species